rnacentral:rRNA from 1 species
UGGGGAAUAUUGGACAAUGGGCGCAAGCCUGAUCCAGCCAUGCCGCGUGAGUGAUGAAGGCCUUAGGGUUGUAAAGCUCUUUCGUCCGGGACGAUAAUAACGGUACCGGAAGAAGAAGCCCCGGCUAACUUCGUGCCAGCAGCCGCGGUAAUACGAAGGGGGCUAGCGUUGUUCGGAAUCACUGGGCGUAAAGGGCGCGUAGGCGGCUUUGUAAGUCGGGGGUGAAAGCCUGUGGCUCAACCACAGAAUUGCCUUCGAUACUGCAUGGCUUGAGACCGGAAGAGGUAAGUGGAACUGCGAGUGUAGAGGUGAAAUUCGUAGAUAUUCGCAAGAACACCAGUGGCGAAGGCGGCUUACUGGUCCGGUUCUGACGCUGAGGCGCGAAAGCGUGGGGAGCAAACAGGAUUAGAUACCCUGGUAGUCCACGCCGUAAAACGAUGAAUGCCAGCCGUUGGCGAGCUUUGCUCGUCAGUGGCGCAGCUAACGCUUUAAGCAUUCCGCCUGGGGGAGUACGGUCGCAAGAUUAAAACUCAAAUGAAUUGACGGGGUC